rnacentral:rRNA from 1 species
AUUGAACGCUGGCGGCAGGCCUAACACAUGCAAGUCGAACGAGUGGCGGACGGGUGAGUAAUGUCUGGGAAACUGUCCGAUGGAGGGGGAUAACUACUGGAAACGGUAGCUAAUACCGCAUACCAUCGGAUGUGCCCAUAUGGGAGUAGCUAGUAGGUGGGGUAACGCCUCACCUAGGCGACGAUCCCUAGCUGGUCUGAGAGGAUGACCGGACACACUGGAAUUGAGACACGGACCAGAAUCCUACGGGAGGCAGAAGGGGGGAAUAUUGCACAAUGGGCGCAAGCCUGAUGCAGCCAUGCCGCGUGUAUGAAGAAGGCCUUCGGGUUGUAAAGUACUUUCAGCGUGGAGGCGUUACUCGAAGAAGAAGCACCGGCUAACUCCGUGCCAGCAGCCGCGGUAAUAC